rnacentral:rRNA from 1 species
UAUAGUUUACUUGAUGGCCACUUACUAGUUGGAUAACUGUAGUAAUUCUAGAGCUAAUACAUGCUUUCAGACCCGACUUCGAGGGAGGGUUGUGCUUAUUAGAUACUGAACCAACACGCUUCGGCGGUUGUUAGUUGAUUCAUAGUAUUCCAGCGAAUCGCUUCACGCGAUGAAUCAUUCAAGUUUCUGACCUAUCAGCUUUCGAUGGUAAGGUAUUGGCUUACCAUGGCUUUGACGGGUAACGGAGAAUUAGGGUUCGAUUCCGGAGAGGGAGCCUGAGAAAUGGCUACCACA